rfam:Myotis brandtii contig204744, whole genome shotgun sequence.
GGUGGUUCUCGGGUGAUGCACCCCGGAAUCAGGCUCCCUCCUCUCUGGUUCGGGUUGCAUCACAGCUGCC